UACGUAGGGGGCAAGCGUUGUCCGGAAUCAUUGGGCGUAAAGCGCGUGUAGGCGGCCACGUUCGUCCGUUCUGAAAGCCCGGGGCUCAACCCCGGGAGGCGGAUGGAUACUGCGUGGCUCGAGUCCGGAAGAGGCGAGUGGAAUUCCUGGUGUAGCGGUGAAAUGCGCAGAUAUCAGGAGGAACACCAAUGGCGAAGGCAGCUCGCUGGGACGUGACUGACGCUGAGACGCGAAAGCGUCGGGAGCAAACAGG
rnacentral:rRNA from 1 species